UACAGAGGGUGCGAGCGUUGUUCGGAAUUACUGGGCGUAAAGCGCGUGUAGGCGGCUCGGCAAGUCGGGUGUGAAAGCCCUGGGCUUAACCUAGGAAGUGCACUCGAAACUGCCAAGCUUGAGUUCUGGAGAGGAAGGCGGAAUUCUCGGUGUAGAGGUGAAAUUCGUAGAUAUCGAGAGGAACACCGGUGGCGAAGGCGGCCUUCUGGACAGCAACUGACGCUGAGACGCGAAAGCGUGGGGAGCAAACAGG
rnacentral:rRNA from 1 species